rnacentral:tRNA from 7 species
GCCGCCUUAGCUCAGCUGGUAGAGCUCCCGUCUUGUAAACGGAAGGUCGUCGGUUCGAACCCGACAGGCGGCUCCA